GGCACAGUGGCUUAGGUGUUAGCACAGUUGUCUUGCACCUACAAGGUUGUGGGUUCGAAUCCCACCUCUGCCC